AUGCCUUCUGCACAUGCAAUUGCAACAAUACGCACCAUUACUAGUGACUUGACAAGUUACAUUGCUAGUUGUUUUUAUGUUGAGGCAUUCAAAAGAACAUAUGCACAUUGUCUACAACCUGUUAAUGGCAUGGAUUGUUGGCCAAUAUCACCAAGGACUAGACCUGCGGCUCCUAGUUAUGUCAAGAUGCCUAGUAGGCCAAGGACUGAGAGAAGAAAGGAGGAAACUGAGAAAAAAGUGUCGAAGACCAGAUUGCCAAAGAGUGGGACACUCAUCAGGUGUGGUAAAUGCAAAGGAGUUGGUCACAACAGAACAACAUGUCAUAGACAGCCAGGUGGGCAACAGAGUGGACAACAAAGUAGACAACAAACUGAACAACAGAGUGGACAACAAAGUAUAGAACAGAGUGCUACUUCACAUAGGGAAAAUGUUGUGCCUUCUCAACAAAGCACCAAUGAUGCAGCUACAACUAGAGUGACAAAGAGACCAGUACCCAUGUCCAAGCCUCCUAGGCCUGCUGUCCAAGGGAAAGGGAAGAAUACUCAGAAGAACAAGUCCUCCUCGAAGGCUGCAAUGAAAGGUGUUAAUGUCAAUGUAAGUUCUAGCUCAGGUGUCACUGUCAAUGUGAAAUUAGGAAGUGCUAAUUCACAGUUCAAGGCACCUGGAAGGGACACAAAAAGGGAAAGGAAGUUACCUACA
rnacentral:rRNA from 1 species